rnacentral:lncRNA from 1 species
AUUUAUUAUACAUAAAAUGACAAUAAUAAUAAAUGAAAACAAUUUCCUUUAAUAUUAUUAUAGAUGAAAACAGUUGUUUUGCAUGUAAAAUUGUAUUUCAUAAGUAAAACAUUUUUAUAGUAAAUUUUGCUAAUUUUAAUACAACUAUAAUACUCAUUCUAUGUAAUUGCCAUGUUUGUGAUUUUAUACACAAAAAUAUAUAUAGAUAUACAGUGUGUUCGAAAAGUAACUAUACACCUGUCACUGCUUUCAUUUUUAUAUGGGAAGAGACUGAGCUUCUUACUGAGAUCUGCCUUGUGUGCAGUUGCAAUAUUGAUGUGUUUCUGUUGUUGCAAUAUUGAUGUGUUUCUGUUGAGCCAACUUUCGCAUGGACUUGUUAGGACUAUGUUGCAUAGCAACUGAUAUGUCUUGCAGUUUUUCUUCAUCAAGUACUGAUGGUCUACUAUUUCAUUCAAAAUCCUUUACCUAAAAUUUCAAAAUUUCUCAAUGUUAUUAAACUAUAUUAAUUAGGAACCACUAUAUGUGAAAAUUUAACAGAAAACUGGUCUUUCAUUGUUUGUACUCACUGUGCUCAUCAUGCCUGAAUGGCUCAUGGAGGCAAACUGCACACAAUGCAGGAUUACCAAUUUUUGCAGAAAACAUUAUUCGCAGCUUACAGAAUACAAUCCCUUAACAUAUAAUCAUGUUUAUUAUAGGUUUAAAGUUAUUUUCGAACACACAGUAUUUCAUGUAUAAGUUUAAUCAUGUGAGAACAUCAGUAAAUUAAACAAAUCUCAAGUGCA